CUUUGAUUAGAUGAACACUUGUAUUUCCAAUAUCAUUUUUAUAUAUGUAUUUGUAUAUUAUUUUAUUUGGGUUUGAAUAAUUUCUUACAUAGUAUAAUACUUUGCAAAAGUUACAGUAUGCCUUUAAGUCUGGUCUCUGAAUUGGCAUUCUUGUUUUUGCUGAACUUCUAAAAUUCACAAUAAUAAGUUCACCUAUUUGAAGUGCUGUGGUAGAUCAUCAUCAAGCUCCUAAAAUGAAGCAUAAAGAAGCAAUAAUAUAAACUUCAAUUUUAAAAAAUUAUUAAUUGAUUAAAUUUACAAUUGGGAUUUUCCUUAUUCAAUGUAUCACUCCUGAUUAAAACCUGAAGAACUGGGGCACAGAUUACAGAUGGGUAACACAACAGAAAAUGAUCUCUCUCUUUCGUUUAAUAAUAAAGACAGGAUUAUUUUAUCCUCUGAUGGUCACUUUAUUUAUCAUCAAAUAUGCAUAGCAAAUUACACUAUUUUUUUAAAUAUAUUAAAAUUAGGUAAAAAUAAUUAUUUAACUGUAGAACUGCCAGCUGCCGAUCUAAUCGGCUCGCCGCCUGCGCAGUUUGCUCCACGA
rnacentral:lncRNA from 1 species